ensembl:lncRNA
CUACAUUAUCCAGAAAGUAAGUGUUAUUUGAAGCCACAUCAGAAUUCAUGGAUUUCCUAGGAAAGUUUCCCGGGCAUGUACAGAACCUGACCAAAGAAGGACCCAUCCCACGACACUUUGAGGGCCCACUCAAGGAUGAGGACGGGCUGCUCACAACGGGAAGGGGCCGGAAAAGAAAGGCUGACAAAGACAAUGUUUUACUGUCAAACAGCAAGAAACCGAAGGUUGUGGAGGGGUUUCAGGAGCU